CUCGUAGGUGGCCAACUAAGUCGGACGUGAAAUCCCUCGGCUUAACCGGGGAACUGCGUCCGAUACUGGUUGGCUUGAGUUUGGGAGAGGGAUGCGGAAUUCCAGGUGUAGCGGUGAAAUGCGUAGAUAUCUGGAGGAACACCGGUGGCGAAGGCGGCAUCCUGGACCGAGAUUGACGCUGAGGCGCGAAAGCUAGGGUAGCAAACG
rnacentral:rRNA from 1 species